GAGCCCGUAGCUCAGGGGUAGAGCACGCGCCUUUUAAGCGUGGGGCCGUGGGUUCGAAUCCCACCGGGCUCA
rnacentral:tRNA from 2 species